rnacentral:antisense_RNA from 15 species
CUUCACCGACCCCAGCCACAACGGCUCCUCGCGAUCCUGGCCAUAGGUGGCGAGCAAGGCCUGUGCCUC